rnacentral:rRNA from 1 species
AUUGAACGCUGGCGGCAGGCCUAACACAUGCAAGUCGAACGAGUGGCGGACGGGUGAGUAAUGUCUGGGAAACUGCCUGAUGGAGGGGGAUAACUACUGGAAACGGUAGCUAAUACCGCAUACCAUCAGAUGUGCCCAGAUGGGUUAAGCUAGUAGGUGGGGUAAUGGCUCACCUAGGCGACGAUCCCUAGCUGGUCUGAGAGGAUGACCGGACACAGUGAGACUGGAACACGGUCCAGACUCCUACGGAAGGUAACAGUGGGGAAUAUUGCACAAUGGACGAAAGCCAGAUGCACACAUGCCGCGUGAGUGAAGAAGGCCUUCGGAUUGUAAACCACUUUUAGCGGGGAGGCGGUAAUCUCAUAAAAAGCACCGGCUAACUCCGUGCCAGCAGCCGCGGUAAUAC